rnacentral:rRNA from 1 species
AGAGUUUGAUCCUGGCUCAGGAUGAACGCUAGCUACAGGCUUAACACAUGCAAGUCGAGGGGCAGCAUGAUUGAAGCUUGCUUCAAUUGAUGGCGACCGGCGCACGGGUGAGUAACGCGUAUCCAACCUUCCGUACACUCAGGGAUAGCCUUUCGAAAGAAAGAUUAAUACCUGAUGGUAUGAUGAGAUUGCAUGAUAGCAUCAUUAAAGAUUUAUCGGUGUACGAUGGGGAUGCGUUCCAUUAGGUAGUAGGCGGGUAACGGCCACUAGCCUACGAUGGAUAGGGGUUCUGAGAGGAAGGUCCCCCANAUUGGAACUGAGACACGGUCCAAACUACUACGGGAGGCA